rnacentral:misc_RNA from 1 species
UACGUAGGUGGCAAGCGUUGUCCGGAAUUAUUGGGCGUAAAGCGCACGCAGGCGGUUUCUUAAGUCUGAUGUGAAAGCCCCCGGCUCAACCGGGGAGGGUCAUUGGAAACUGGGGAACUUGAGUGCAGAAGAGGAAAGUGGAAUUCCACUUGUAGCGGUGAAAUGCGUAGAUAUGUGGAGGUACACCAGUGGCGAAGGCGACUCUCUGGUCUGUAACUGACGCUGAGGUGCGAAAGCGUGGGGAGCGAACAGG